CGGACGGGUGAGUAACGCGUAGGAAUCUACCUGGUAGUGGGGGACAACUUGUGGAAACGCAAGCUAAUACCGCAUACGCCCUAUGGGGGAAAGCGGGGGAUCUUCGGACCUCGCGCUAUUGGAUGAGCCUGCGUAAGAUUAGCUAGUUGGUGGGGCAAAAGCUCACCAAGGCGACGAUCUUUAGCUGGUCUGAGAGGAUGAUCAGCCACACUGGAACUGAGACACGGUCCAG
rnacentral:rRNA from 1 species